rnacentral:rRNA from 1 species
AUGACGAGAAACGCAUUGGAGUUAGUGUGCUGGAAUGUUAGAGGUCUUAACAAUCCGGCCAAGAGGAAGGCGCUUAGAGGAUUUGUGGAAUCUGUCUGCGCGGCGAUUGUUUGUAUUCUAGUAACUAAAUUAGAGGUAGUGGACAUUUAUGUAAUCUUGCAAUGCAUGGGACCGAACUAUGAUGGCUUCACUUAUUUGCUGGCAUCGGACACUAGAGAAGGCAUUUUCAUGGCUUGGGACACCACGAGGAUGCUUUUGACAAACUUUGUCAAUGAUUCUCAUUGUUGUUGGGGAACAUAG